rnacentral:lncRNA from 1 species
CAACCCCCGCCCACCCUUCAAAGCGCGUGGUGCCAACGCACGAGGAUCCCCCCCCCCCCCCCAAGUGCAAAUGGGAUCAAAUGGGAUCAUGGGGGGUGGGUGGGAUUCAGGUCCUGGUGUUGCACGAGGGGCUGGUGUUGCACGAGGAGGAGCUGAUGUUGCACGAGGACUUGAUGGUGUUGCACGAGGGGCUGUCCCCAGCUCAUGGAGAUGAUGGUGGUGGUGUUGCACGAGGAGUUGUUGCACGAGCAUCGCUCUCAUCCCAUUGCACGAGCAGCUGUUGCACGAGGCCUCACGCGAGUCCUGUUGUGCACGAGGAGCUGGUGUUGCACGAGGACUUGAUGGUGUUGCACGAGGUCUUACCCAGUCCAGUUGUGCACGAGGAGCUGUUGCACGAGGGUGUGAUGCACGAGGAGGUGACCCCAUUUUGCACCAGGGCCCGUUGCACGAGGGGUUGAUGCACGAGGAGCUGAUGUGGAUGCUGGGAGUCCUGUUGCACGAGGGUCCUUUGCACGAGGGGCUGUUGCACGACCCCCCCCCAGUCCUUGUGCACAUGGAGGUGAUGCAUGAGGUGGUGAUGCACUUUUGCACGAGGAAUCCUUUGCACUAAUAAACCCUUUGCACGAGGGUUCUUUGCACAAUGAAUCCUUUGCACGAGGACUUGCCUUUGCAUGAGGACGUGCCUUUUGCACGAGGGUUCUUUGCACGACGAAUCCUUUGCACGAGGACUUGCUUUUGCACGAGGACUUGUGCCUUUUGCACGAAGGUUCUUUGCACGAGGAUCUUUGCACGUGGAUGCUUUGCAUGACGGUGGGUUGCACGUGGAUGUGUUGCACAAGUCCCCCCCCCAUUCCAAGUCCUGGUGCUUGAGAAUCCCUUGCACGACGAUCCCUUGCACAAGUAUCUCUUGCACACUCAUCCCUUGCACGAGGAUCUCUUGGUCCCCCCUCCCCCCCAAGUCCUGGUGCUUGAGAAACCCUUGCACGAUGAUCCCUUGCACGACGAUCCCUCGCACGAUGAUCUCUUGCACACUCAUCCCUUGCACGAGGAUCCCUUGCACGACGAUCUCUUGCACACUCAUCCCUUGCAUGAGGAUCUGCUGCUCCCCCCCAAGUCCUGGUGCUUGAGAAUCCCUUGCACAAGGAUCCAUUGCACAAGGAUCCAUUGCACGAGGAUCUGUUCCCUUUCCCCCCCCCCCCAAUCCUGUUGCAACAAGAGCCCCCCCCAAUAUCCUGCACGCUGCUUUAUCCAUUGGCACAACCCCCCCCCCCCAACCCCCCUUCCUCCAUUGCACGAGUGGAGGGGGGGGGGUCUGAAAUUAGGCGGGGGGGUCUUGAAUAUGGGGGGGGUCUUGAAGUAGGGGGGGGGGUCUUGAACUGGGGGGGUGUCUGGAAUAUGGGGGGGGGCCUUGAAUUGGGGGGGGGGCCUUGAAUUGUGGGGGGCGUGUCUUGAAUUGGGGGGGUCUUGAAUUAUGGGGGGGGUCUUGAAUUGGGUGGGGUUCUUGAACUGGGGGGGGGGUCUUGAGGGGGGGGGUCUUGAAUAUGGGGGGGGGGUGUCCUUGAAUGGGAGCGGGAUCUUUAAAUGGGGGGGAUCUUAAAUGGGGAGCGGUCUUGAGUGGGAUGGGGGUCAAAGUAUGGGGGUAAAAAGGGGGGGGG